GUCGCAUGCUUUCGGCCGCCAUGGCGGCCGCGGGAAUUCGAUUAGAGUUGAUCAUGGCUCAGAAUGAACGCUGGCGGCAUGCCUAACACAUGCAAGUCGAACGAAGGCUUCGGCCUUAGUGGCGCACGGGUGCGUAACGCGUGGGAAUCUGCCCUCAGGUUCGGAAUAACAGCGAGAAAUUGCUGCUAAUACCGGAUGAUAUCGCGAGAUCAAAGAUUUAUCGCCUGAGGAUGAGCCCGCGUAGGAUUAGCUAGUUGGUGUGGUAAAGGCGCACCAAGGCGACGAUCCUUAGCUGGUCUGAGAGGAUGAUCAGCCACACUGGGACUGAGACACGGCCCAGACUCCUACGGGAGGCAGCAGUGGGGAAUAUUGGACAAUGGGCGAAAGCCUGAUCCAGCAAUGCCGCGUGAGUGAUGAAGGCCUUAGGGUUGUAAAGCUCUUUUACCCGGGAUGAUAAUGACAGUACCGGGAGAAUAAGCUCCGGCUAACUCCGUGCCAGCAGCCGCGGUAAUACGAAUCACUAGUGAAUUCGCGGCCGCCUGCAGGUCGACCAUAUGGGAGCGCCCCCAACGCGU
rnacentral:rRNA from 1 species